UACGGAGGGUGCGAGCGUUGUCCGGAAUCAUUGGGCGUAAAGGGCGCGUAGGUGGCCCCUCAAGCGUGCGGUGAAAGUCAGGGGCUCAACCCCUGAUCGGCCGUGCGAACUGGGGAGCUUGAGCACUGUAGAGGCAGGCGGAAUUCCGGGUGUAGCGGUGGAAUGCGUAGAGAUCCGGAAGAACACCGGUGGCGAAGGCGGCCUGCUGGGCAGUUUGCUGGACACUGAGGCGCGACAGCGUGGGGAGCAAACAGGG
rnacentral:rRNA from 1 species